rnacentral:rRNA from 1 species
UGGGGAAUCUUGCGCAAUGCGCGAAAGCGUGACGCAGCAACGCCGCGUGGGGGAAGAAGGCCUUCGGGUUGUAAACCCCUUUCAGUUGGGACGAAGGUCGGGUGGUGAAUAGCCAUUCCGACUGACGGUACCUUCACAAGAAGCUCCGGCUAACUACGUGCCAGCAGCCGCGGUAAUACGUAGGGAGCAAGCGUUGUCCGGAAUCAUUGGGCGUAAAGAGCGUGUAGGCGGCCCGAUAAGUCGGUUGUGAAAGUCAAGGGCUCAACCCUUGAAAGCCGGCCGAUACUGUCGGGCUAGAAUCCGGAAGAGGCGAGUGGAAUUCCUGGUGUAGCGGUGAAAUGCGCAGAUAUCAGGAGGAACACCAAUGGCGAAGGCAGCUCGCUGGGACGGUAUUGACGCUGAGACGCGAAAGCGUGGGGAGCAAACAG